GGAGAAGGAGAAGGAGAAAGAGAAAGAAGAAGAAGGAGAAGGAGAACAAGGAAGGAAGAGGAAGGGAGGAGCAAGGGUUUCCUACCAACUAAGGAAUAGAACCAAGGGGUGACGAGACAACGCGGCGCGAGGCCAUCGGCUGUCCAUCAUAAUCUAGGACUUGAGAUAUGGAUUCAAGGAACCCUUCAGAGACUGUGGCUGAGGAAUAGGCCCUCUACGAAGUGACCUCUAAGACAAGGAGCUGGUCAUACACGAGGACUGUUAUGCAUGCGAUGAUUGUGCUUUCGGAGUACACUGAAGAUGAGAGUAUCAUCUUCCCUUUUGAUUCUUUUAUUUACAUGUCAGAUGUAGCCCUAAGGGCAUAACUGUAAUUAAUAUUCCGCUGUGAAAACAUUUUGGUAAAUAUGGUAAAUAUUAGUAGACUUCACCAGUUAUGUAUAUUUGACUAUUAUUAAUAUCUUGUGAUCGUAGAAGCAUUUCAUAAUUUUAUGCACUUAAA